GUGCUUGCUUCAGCAGCACAUAUGCUAAAAUUAGAAUGAAACAGAGAAGAUGAGCAUGACCCCUGCACGAAGAUGACAUGCAAAUUUAUAAAGCAUCCCUUGUACUU